rnacentral:lncRNA from 1 species
UUUUUGCUAAAAAAAAUUCUUCUUCUUUUGCGCUCUCUUGCACCGUAUCCCAACCUUUUUCUUUUCUUCUUUUCGCUCAAAAUAGCUCUCCCCUCACAACUUAUCCCCACCUUUGUCUUUUGUUUUUUUUCUCGCUCCAAUGGGCUCUUUUCCGUUCCUAUUCCCGGUACCCCCGGUGAUCUACACUGCUCUGAUCCGUGCUCACAACCUUGCUUUUCCUACUUUUGGCGUUAUUUUGACAGCAAAGGAGGAGAAGAGAGACUGUGGCCGAUGCAAAAUGUAACCAUGA